GGCUAUAUUACUAGGCUAGAGCUGA
rnacentral:misc_RNA from 1 species